rnacentral:rRNA from 1 species
GACGAACGCUGGCGGCGUGCUUAACACAUGCAAGUCGAACGGAAAGGCCCUGCUUUUGUGGGGUGCUCGAGUGGCGAACGGGUGAGUAACACGUGAGUAACCUGCCCUUGACUUUGGGAUAACUUCAGGAAACUGGGGCUAAUACCGGAUAGGAGCUCCUGCUGCAUGGUGGGGGUUGGAAAGUUUCGGCGGUUGGGGAUGGACUCGCGGCUUAUCAGCUUGUUGGUGGGGUAGUGGCUUACCAAGGCUUUGACGGGUAGCCGGCCUGAGAGGGUGACCGGCACCAUUGGGACUGAGAUACGGCCCAGACUCCUACGGGAGGCAGCAGGGGGGAAUAUUGCACAAUGGGCGGAAGCCGGAUGCAGGAACGCCGCGUGCGGGAUGACGGCCUUGGGGUUGUAAACCGCUUUCGCCUGUGACGAAGCGUGAGUGACGGUAAUGGGGAAAGAAGCACCGGCUAACUACGU